CCCCGGCCCCGCCGCCGACGGCCCACCGCCCACCCCCGGCGAGGUCACCGAGCAGCUGGCGCAGCUGGUGAGGGCCCUCUGGACAUUGGAGUACACCCCGCAGCACAGCCGAGACUUCAAGGCAGCUCUUUAUCCUUGGUCCACCCAGGAUGCGAGUGUUGAGGAAACCAGAACAGCUAUCAUGGAGGUGUUUCGGAGAUGGGGAAUGACACAGAUACGGCCCAAGACACGUGGCAGUUGCAAAUCCCCAGGGUUCUCUCUGCUGCGGGGUGUUACAGGCUUGUGCAGCUCACAGUAGGACAACACAUCACCAGGAAUGCAUGCCAGUAAAAGCCAGCGGGAGUCUAGACUGGAAUGAUGUGCUGGUGACACUGGGAGAGAGGCGAUAAGAAACAAUAGCCUGGAUUCCUGAAGUCUUUACUUGCCUGUUUCCACACAGAACCCCCCCUUUUUUACUUGAAAUACCAGAUUCACUUCCUCCUAGCAGUAACUAAAGACCCUUUUAUCUUCAAUUCUGUCUAGACUAGGUCUUACAGCGUGCUGGUAGCACCUGUUGGCUAACUUUGCUAAAACAAACUAGACCAGAUUAAGCAGCCAGUUCUUAGCAUGCCGCCUGAAAAGCGUUAGUGCUGGCCUGAUGAUAACAUACCUUUUUAUGUCUUAGUGCAGAGAGGACCAUACACUGCUGGAGGGUGUGUGUGUUUCAGCACCUCCGUUUCUCUUGGCCCUCUUUGGUCAACUCACUGCUGAGAAGAGUGGGCUUGGUCUUGCUGUCACCUGCGCUGCCUUUGGAGCCCCUUUGGUGGUAUACUGGAUAUACUGGACAUUGUCACCUUGGCAUGCUCAGCUGGGUGUAGAGGGGAAGGAUGAAUAAGGCCAUUAGAAGGCAAUGUGCCUCCAUGUGUUGCUGCGGAGGCACAGGUAGCAAUUCUAGAGAAAAGGUGUAGCAAGAGAACCACUUGAGUCUGGACUAAAAUCUCUGCUUCACACUUCAGUGAUUGAUUUUUCAGUUUAGAACUUGACACAGUAAUUUAAGGCCUACAUUUAAUUUUCAUUGUAAUUUU
rnacentral:lncRNA from 1 species